AACGAACGCUGGCGGCAUGCCUAACACAUGCAAGUCGAACGAGACCUUCGGGUCUAGUGGCGCACGGGUGCGUAACGCGUGGGAACCUGCCCUUAGGUUCGGAAUAACUCCCCGAAAGGGGUGCUAAUACCGGAUAAUGUCUUCGGACCAAAGAUUUAUCGCCUUUGGAUGGGCCCGCGUUGGAUUCGCUAGUUGGUAGGGUAAAAGCCUACCAAGGCGACGAUCCAUAGCUUGUCUGAGAGGAUGAUCAGCCACACUGGGACUGGGACACGGCCCAGACUCCUACGGGAUGCAGCAGUGGGGAAUAUUGGACAAUGGGCGAAAGCCUGAUCCAGCUAUGCCGCGUGAGUGCUGAAGGCCUUAGGGUUGUAAAGCUCUUUUACCCGGGAUGAUAAUGACAGUACCGGGAGAAUAAGCUCCGGCUAACUCCGUG
rnacentral:rRNA from 1 species